AUACGGAGGAUGCAAGCGUUAUCCGGAUUUAUUGGGUUUAAAGGGUGCGUAGGCGGUUUGCUAAGCGGGAGGUGAAAUGCCGGCGCUCAACGUCGGAAGUGCCUCCCGAACUGGUGGACUUGAAUGACUCUGCCGUGGGAGGAAUGUGUAGUGUAGCGGUGAAAUGCUUAGAGAUUACACAGAACACCGAUUGCGAAGGCAUCUCACGAAGGGUUGAUUGACGCUGAGGCACGAAAGCGUGGGGAUCAAACAGGAUUAGAUACCCUGGUAGUCCACGCUGUAAACGAUGAUCACUCGUUGUUGGGGGGCGACCCUCAGCGGCCAAGCGAAAGCGAUAAGUGAUCCACCUGGGGAGUACGAUCGCAAGGUUGAAACUCAAAGGAAUUGGCGGGG
rnacentral:rRNA from 1 species